CCUACGGGUGGCAGCAGUGAGGAAUAUUGGUCAAUGGCCGGAAGGCUGAACCAGCCAUGCCGCGUGAAGGUCAGUGCCCUAUGGGCGUUAAACUUCUUUUGUGCGGGAGCAAUAAUGGUCACGUGUGGCCAGACGAGAGUACCGUACGAAUAAGCAUCGGCUAACACCGUGCCAGCAGACGCGGUAAUACGGGGGAUGCAAGCGUUAUCCGGCUUUAUUGGGUUUAAAGGGUGCGUAGGGUGGGAGGUAAGUCAGCGGGGAAAAGCCCCAACGCAAAGGGGUGAAGUGCCAUUGAUACUGCGUUUCUGGAAUGCGGAUGAAGUGGGAGGAAUGUGUGGUGUAGCGGUGAAAUGCAUAGAUAUCACGCAGAACACCGAUUGCGAAGGCAUCUCACGAACCCGCGACUGACGCUGAUGCACGAAAGCGUGGGUAUCAAACAGGAUUAGAUACCCUAGUAGUC
rnacentral:rRNA from 1 species